GGUAUAUAGCUCAGUUGGUAGAGUGUUUACCUAGCAUGCACAAGUCUCUGGGUUCAACCCCCAGCACCA
rnacentral:tRNA from 1 species